rnacentral:rRNA from 1 species
GACGAACGCUGGCGGCGUGCUUAACACAUGCAAGUCGAACGGAAAGGCCCCUUUGGGGGUAUUCGAGUGGCGAACGGGUGAGUAACACGUGAGUAACCUGCCCUUGACUUCGGGAUAACUUCAGGAAACUGGGGCUAAUACCGGAUAGGAAUCCUUGCUGCAUGGUGGGGGUUGGAAAGCUUCGGCGGUUUUGGAUGGACUCGCGGCUUAUCAGCUUGUUGGUGGGGUAGUGGCUUACCAAGGCUUUGACGGGUAGCCGGCCUGAGAGGGCGACCGGCCACAUUGGGACUGAGAUACGGCCCAGACUCCUACGGGAGGCAGCAGUGGGGAAUAUUGCACAAUGGGCGGAAGCCUGAUGCAGCAACGCCGCGUGCGGGAUGACGGCCUUCGGGUUGUAAACCGCUUUCAGCAGGGGCGAAGCUUGUGGUGACGGUACCUGCAGAAGAAGCACCGGCUAACUACGUG